rnacentral:rRNA from 1 species
GAUGAACGCUGGCGGCGUGCCUAAUACAUGCAAGUCGAGCGAACAGAUAAGGAGCUUGCUCCUUUGACGUUAGCGGCGGACGGGUGAGUAACACGUGGGUAACCUACCUAUAAGACUGGAAUAACUCCGGGGAAACGGGGCCUAAUGCCGGUUAUAAUUUAUACCGGUAUGGUCCUAAGGGAAACGUGGCUUUUGCUAUUACUUAAGGUGGUACCGGCGCCGGAUUAGCUAGUUGGUAAGGUAACGGCUUACCAAGGCAACGAUACGUAGCCGACCGGAGAGGGUGAUCGGCCACACUGGAACUGAGACACGGUCCAGACUCCUACGGGAGGCAGCAGUAGGGAAUCUUCCGCAAUGGGCGAAAGCCUGACGGAGCAACGCCGCGUGAGUGAUGAAGGUCUUCGGAUCGUAAAACUCUGUUAUUAGGGAAGAACAAAUGUGUAAGUAACUGUGCACGUCUUGACGGUACCUAAUCAGAAAGCCACGGCUAACUACGUG